AGCGAACGCUGGCGGCAGGCCUAACACAUGCAAGUCGAACGAACCUUUCGGGGUUAGUGGCGGACGGGUGAGUAACACGUGGGAACGUGCCUUUAGGUUCGGAAUAACUCAGGGACACUUGUGCUAAUACCGAAUGUGCCCUUCGGGGGAAAGAUUUAUCGCCUUUAGAGCGGCCCGCGUCUGAUUAGCUAGUUGGUUGAGGUAAUGGCUCACCAAGGCGACGAUCAGUAGCUGGUCUGAGAGGAUGAUCAGCCACAUUGGGACUGAGACACGGCCCAAACUCCUACGGGAGGCAGCAGUGGGGAAUCUUGCGCAAUGGGCGAAAGCCUGACGCAGCCAUGCCGCGUGAAUGAUGAAGGUCUUAGGAUUGUAAAAUUCUUUCACCGGGGACGAUAAUGACGGUACCCGGAGAAGAAGCCCCGGCUAACUUCGUG
rnacentral:rRNA from 1 species